UACGGAGGGGGCUAGCGUUGUUCGGAAUUACUGGGCGUAAAGCGUGCGUAGGCGGUUUGUUAAGUCCGCUGUGAAAGCCCUGGGCUCAACCUGGGAAUUGCAGUGGAUACUGGCAAGCUAGAGUGUGGUAGAGGAUGGUGGAAUUCCCGGUGUAGCGGUGAAAUGCGUAGAGAUCGGGAGGAACACCCGUGGCGAAGGCGGCCAUCUGGACCAGCACUGACGCUGAGGCACGAAAGCGUGGGGAGCAAACAGG
rnacentral:rRNA from 1 species